CCAGCUGGGUUUCCCAAGCUUUUGGGAAAGUUAAGCAAUUCUCCCUUCACAAUGUUUGCAACUCUCACAGAAAGCUAUUUCUCUAUAUAACAAUAUUCUGUAGAAAUAAGCACCUCCGAGCCCCCAUGCUAUGAAAUGUUGCUGAGGACUAAAGCAGCAGAUCAUCCAGCCACUGCCCCCACUCAUAUGUUAGUCAAAAAUAAGAACUGUCACUCUAUGAAAUGUCACGAAGCCUCAAGUGAUUGUUUAUUCUAAAUACUACCGGCACCGACCUUCAAAGUGUUUCUGAAUGACUAUAAUUACUAAAUGAACUCAAGAAAAGCAAAGACUGCAACCGCCAAUUGACAAAACAGCCCUUGUGUGCAGAGAGAUUUCUGGCCACUGAGGCAAUUAAUCCGUUUGGUUUGCCAGGGCAGAAGGUAACAUUCUUCCACCGGGUCAGAGGGAACCAGACGCUCAGCUCAGCGCAGUGCUGGAGGCACUAUGCUCAACGGGCAUGUGAGAUAGCACAAAAAGUGUUAGCAGUUACAGGAGUCAAUCUCAGUCCUGGCAGUUUGUCCUUCAAAUAACAAACACCUGUGAAAUGUCAACGGUCACAAGUUAAAUAGCAUGUGUUUCUGAACCCACUUCCUAGCAGGCUUCUUUAUAAAGGAAUUGCUGUUGACUUGGAGGGGUGGAUAUUUUCUUGGGGGCAAGCUAUCACUAGUCAUUCCCUUUCAGGUCUCUCCAAUUGAACUCCUAAUUUACAAGUGCCAAAAAGUUGUACCCAGCACAUGGCUGAUAGCAAAAUUCAGCUUUAAACUUGUCUGCAAUGAUACAGCAAGUCUUCUGCAAGCUGGAAAAAAAAAUAUUUCAAGUAAUAAAGGGGAAAAUGUUAUAGACAAUGAAGCAUUAAUGUCAUAUUAUUCCAGUAUCUCACACACAAAAAAAAUUCCAAUGCUACAUUCAACCUCUGCUCUAAGAGAAGAGCUCAGCACUGAAAUGCCUGCAGGGGAAAUAGUAAACAAUUAGAAUUAAAAAUAAUUUGGUGACACAGCAUUCACCAACGAAGCACAGCGAAAUGUCAAAUGCUGCAGUUGAAGAAAAACUUAUGGGAAAAGUAGACAUGUCCAGAAACAGAUUGCUACAACUAUGUCUGUCUGUAAAGUUCAAGGUAAUUCUGCUCGAACAGAAUGAACGUAUCACACAGAUGAGCAGCAAGAAGAAAAAGCUGUACUUCACAGAAUAAUCACUCAUUUGAUAAUCCAUAAGUCAAUGGCAUACUAAGUUGCAAACAUCCUGUUAAAUGAACAAAAAUACUUCAUAUAAAAAAUGUUAACUGUUUUCAUUAAUGGCUGGUUUUGUGAAGAACAAAGAACAAUUCUGAAGCAGAGCCUGCUGCUCUGGGAUGCAUUCAAAGCAGCAAUCAGAUUUUGAUAAGAACUCAAUUGUUGUGACAAACAGCUCUUCCCCCUACCUCCCUCUGGCCCAGGGCUGCUGUGUGGAGAUCACCGGACAGACAGGCCUAAAACACCCCAUCUAGUGGCUCAAAACAGCAUAAGAAAUGGCAAAGGAACACUUGGGGGUCAUCUGCUGCUCCCCACUUCCUCCACGUGAAAACGCACACCCCUAAACACCAACACUUGCUGGUAUAAGACUCCAGAAACAACCACACAGAUACAGACUGCUUUGCUUUAGCUUAUCACAAGUGCUUAAGAACGUCUCAUUGUCACAACAAACCUUACUUUACUGCAGGCUCCAAAUUUUUCUAGCAGUAGCAGUGUUUCAGCCUAGUUGUUUCACCUCUGCUUCUUUGCAGUGACCUCUUAAGAAUACAAGUUUGACACAAACACUCUUGACCAGGAUAACUUGUCUCAAAAGGUGAGGUCCGUACCCUACGGAGAGUCCUGUGUGUACAGUUCCACGGUGCCAGGGUCACAGCGUUUUCUUGAUGCAAGAGCAUCAACAUAACAGACAGUGUAUAAGUGAGAACAUUUGCGCAUACAAAAAGGGAAGCCAACAUUGCAACAGCAAGCAACUUCAGCCCUUCUAUAGCGAGUCUAAACUGAAAACGACUGCAAAGUCCCAAGUCCCAGAUGCUCAUCUGGAAAAAAGGUGAGCCUGAGAAUAGUUUUACCUGCUGAUACUCUCUGAAUCUGAGCCAGGCAAGCAGUUCAAUGGCAGCAUUCUCUUCCUACACCCUACAGCUGUGUACGUACAUAACUUUGUAAUUAAAUAUCCUGUUGGCAGCAAGGUCCUAUUUCAGUACAGUAAAGCUGUAAAGACAGAAAAAAUUGUUAAGACUUCAACUGUUACCUGUAUUCGUAUCGAGUAAACGCCUUUUAGGAGCUGUAACAUUUGCCACAGCCACAUUAAAACCAGGACUGUACCUAUCCACUAAGGAACUUGUUAGCAGCUCAGCAUAAAUUGCCAUCUUUAUCCCAGUUUCCCCUUUGACAGGCAACAAUAUGCACUAAGUAAGAAAGUAACCAAGUGUCCAAGCGUAAAAAGUCUUCUGCAUGAAACCCUUCACUGAAUCCAGUGAUUGCAUGAAAGAGAGAUGCAAGGGUAGGCCUUGGACAUGAUAGGUGGCAAAGAAAUUGCUUGCUGACAGUUCUCAUACCAGCUGAGCUUUCCAGCUGCACUUCUGGCAGUUUUAAAUUAAAAAA